AUUGAACGCUGGCGGCAUGCUUUACACAUGCAAGUCGAACGGUAACAGGGAGCUUGCUCCGCUGACGAGUGGCGAACGGGUGAGUAAUGCAUCGGAACGUACCCAGUCGUGGGGGGAUAACGUAGCGAAAGUUACGCUAAUACCGCAUACGUCCUGAGGGAGAAAGCGGGGGACCGUAAGGCCUCGCGCGAUUGGAGCGGCCGAUGUCGGAUUAGCUAGUUGGUAGGGUAAAGGCCUACCAAGGCGACGAUCCGUAGCGGGUCUGAGAGGAUGAUCCGCCACACUGGGACUGAGACACGGCCCAGACUCCUACGGGAGGCAGCAGUGGGGAAUAUUGCGCAAUGGGCGAAAGCCUGACGCAGCCACGCCGCGUGAGUGAUGAAGGCCUUCGGGUCGUAAAACUCUGUCGGGAGGGACGAAGGGGAAACUCUGACGGUACCUCGCAAGAAAGCACCGGCUAACUCUGUGCCAGCAGCCGCGGUAAU
rnacentral:rRNA from 1 species